rnacentral:tRNA from 2 species
GGGGAGGUGCCAGAGUGGACGAUUGGGGCCGCCUGCUAAGUGGUUGUGGGGUGAAUAACUCCACCGAGGGUUCGAAUCCCUCCCUCCCCGCCA